GUCGGUAUAGUAUAGUGGUUAGUACGAAGCUUUGUGGCAACACGGAUCAGCUUAGACCCAUGUUCGAUUCAUGGUACCGACA